rnacentral:rRNA from 1 species
UACGGAGGGUGCGAGCGUUAAUCGGAAUUACUGGGCGUAAAGGGUGCGUAGGUUGUUGUUUAAGUUAUCUGUGAAAUACCUGGGCUUAACCUGGGCAGGUCAGCUAAUACUGAACGACUAGAGUAUAGGAGAGGGUAGUGGAAUUUCCGGUGUAGCGGUGAAAUGCGUAGAGAUCGGAAGGAACACCGGUGGCGAAGGCGGCUACCUGGCCUAAUACUGACACUGAGGCACGAAAGCGUGGGGAGCAAACAGG